UCGUCAUUGGUGACCUGCUCUUUUCAGCUC
rnacentral:piRNA from 1 species